rnacentral:rRNA from 1 species
AUAACACGAUACGGCAGACACUAUACUGGCUUAGCACCGGGAACAGGCCUGCCGUAUACCAUAAUAUUACACGUUUAUUGGACACGAAACUUCUCGAGCUAGGUGUCGGCAGGUCUGACGAUUUUCAGGACCGAACCCGUGUAUGUCGCAAGAUACUGGGACGACCGGCGCCUAGGGGUGAAAGGCCAAUCAAGAGAAGUGAUAGCUUGUUUUCUGCGAAAUCUAUUCGGGUAAAGAGUGUGUUUUUUGACCAUAUAUUAUA